rnacentral:rRNA from 1 species
GACGAACGCUGGCGGUGUGCUUAACACAUGCAAGUGGUGCGACGAACCAGGCUUCGGCCUGGGGCAAAGCCGCGAACGGGCGAGUAACACGUGGGUAAUCUGCCCCGAUGACCGGGACAACCCGAGGAAACUCGGGCUAAUACCGGAUGUGGUGCCUGGACAUAAGUCCGGUAACUACAGGUAGCAUCGGCGUCCGCAUUGGGAGGGGCCCGCGGCCCAUUAGCUUGUUGGUGGGGUCAAGGCCUACCAAGGCAACGAUGGGUAGCUGGUCUGAGAGGACGAUCAGCCACACUGGGACUGAGACACGGCCCAGACUCCUACGGGAGGCAGCAGUGGGGAAUCUUGCGCAAUGCGCGAAAGCGUGACGCAGCAACACCGCGUGAGGGAAGACGGCCUUAGGGUUGUAAAGCACUUUAAGUUGGGAGGAAGAGUUGUAAGCUAAUAUCUUGCAGCUUUGACGUUACCAACAGAAUAAGCACCGGCUAACUCUGUGCCAGCCGCCGCGGUAAGAC